rnacentral:rRNA from 1 species
AUUGAACGCUGGCGGCAUGCUUUACACAUGCAAGUCGAGCGGCAGCGCGGGGGCAACCCUGGCGGCGAGCGGCGAACGGGUGAGUAACGCAUCGGAACGUAUCCUGUAGUGGGGAAUAACUCAUCGAAAGGUGAGCUAAUACCGCAUAAGCUCUGAGGAGGAAAGCGGGGGACCGAAAGGCCUCGCGCUGCAGGAGCGGCCGAUGUCCGAUUAGCUAGUUGGUGAGGUAAAGGCUCACCAAGGCGACGAUCGGUAGCUGGUCUGAGAGGAUGAUCAGCCACACUGGGACUGAGACACGGCCCAGACUCCUACGGGAGGCAGCAGUGGGGAAUCUUGCGCAAUGGACGAAAGUCUGACGCAGCGACGCCGCGUGGGGGAUGAAGGUCUUCGGAUUGUAAACCCCUUUCGGAGGGAGAUGAUGACGGUACCUGGAGAAUAAGCCCGGCUAACUUCGUGCCAGCAGCCGCGGUAAU